rnacentral:hammerhead_ribozyme from 1 species
AUCCAGCUGACGAGUGCCAAAUAGGACGAAACGCGCGUCGAGGAU